rnacentral:rRNA from 1 species
AACGAACGCUGGCGGCAGGCUUAACACAUGCAAGUCGAACGCCCCGCAAGGGGAGUGGCAGACGGGUGAGUAACGCGUGGGAAUCUACCCAGUUCUACGGAACAACUGAGGGAAACUUCAGCUAAUACCGUAUACGCCCUAAGGGGGAAAGAUUUAUCGGAAUUGGAUGAGCCCGCGUUGGAUUAGCUAGUUGGUGAGGUAACGGCUCACCAAGGCGACGAUCCAUAGCUGGUCUGAGAGGAUGAUCAGCCACACUGGGACUGAGACACGGCCCAGACUCCUACGGGAGGCAGCAGUGGGGAAUAUUGGACAAUGGGCGCAAGCCUGAUCCAGCCAUGCCGCGUGAGUGAUGAAGGCCUUAGGGUUGUAAAGCUCUUUCAGUGGGGACGAUAAUGACGGUACCCACAGAAGAAGCCCCGGCUAACUUCGUGCCAGCAGCCGCCGCCG